CUGGCUGCCCGGGAGCCUUCAGGGUGGGCUCUGGGGGCCAGGUGCGGCCUCAGCGCCGUCCCUUCCCGGGAAGCCUCCUCCCUGGGGUCCACGCCGGCUCCUGCUGGCUCCCCCAUUCCGCUGAAAUCUGAGGAAAAGGCUCUGGGAACGCAGCCAGACUCCCCCACAGCUCAGACGGCUGUAAAGAAAUAUUCCUGCCAGAUGUUCAGAGGCGGAGGCCAGCAUGAGUUCCCAGAACCAGAGCUUCUAUGGCGGAUUCUCACCAGAAAAUGAAAUUCUCAGCUUACAGGCAAC
rnacentral:lncRNA from 1 species